GACGAACGCUGGCGGCGUGCUUAACACAUGCAAGUCGAACGGAAAGGCCCUGCUUUUGUGGGGUGCUCGAGUGGCGAACGGGUGAGUAACACGUGAGUAACCUGCCCUUGACUUUGGGAUAACUUCAGGAAACUGGGGCUAAUACCGGAUAGGAGCUCCUGCUGCAUGGUGGGGGUUGGAAAGUUUCGGCGGUUGGGGAUGGACUCGCGGCUUAUCAGCUUGUUGGUGGGGUAGUGGCUUACCAAGGCUUUGACGGGUAGCCGGCCUGAGAGGGUGACCGGCCACAUUGGGACUGAGAGACGGCCCAGACUCCUACGGGAGGCAGCAGUGGGGAAUAUUGCACAGUGGGCGGAAGCCUGAUGCAGCGACGCCGCGUGCGGGAUGACGGCCUUCGGGUGGUAAACCGCUUUCGCCUGUGACGAAGCGUGAGUGACGGUAAUGGGUAAAGAAGCACCGGCUAACUACGUG
rnacentral:rRNA from 1 species